CGGUCAAAGCCGAGUUUGACCAGGUGUCUGCUGUACACUUGGACACCAAAGCCAAGCUGGACUGUCUAGAACGCCAAACCUUUCUGGAGGAGCUGAAGAACAGGAAAGAGAUCGACAAAAUGAAGAGCCUGAUAAUGACUGAAAUGACCACCUUAGAUAUUCUAAAGGGUAAUAGGGACGCAGAGGCAGCCAAAUAUAUCCGUGAACAAAAAGACUGCGAGAGGGUGAAAGGUGAGCUGCAGAAAAAGUAUGAAGACGCUUUGUCUACAGCCGCUCAACUGGAGACUGAGGUGGAGCAACUGAGACAGAUAUAUACAGAGAAA